rnacentral:lncRNA from 1 species
GUUCCGGAAUGGGAAUUUGUUUGUAAGUGGAGUAAUACGCAACGAUAUUUUUGUCUCAUUGAAAUAAAAGCGACCCUCGUUUCCCCAAACUCUUCUCUCGUCCAACUGAUUCCUUAAACUGCAUAAUUUACUGUCGGCAACAUUGGAAACGAUACGGAAAUAGAGUUUGAAAAAUCGAUGGUGAAGUGGAAAAUUUGUCGCGUUCUACGUUGGCGUUUUCAAGCCAGCCUUAUUCACCGUAGUAUUUAAGAUAUAAAUCUUGAAUUGAUAGAGCCGAGGGUUGCCAGGGGGCGACGCAAAGGAGGCGAGAGGUACGGGUGAUCGAAUCACCGCAUAAGGUUAUAUCGUUCUUACCAAUCUCAGCAACACGCCACACUUGCCUGAUAUUCAUUUGAGGGAGAGAUGUACAUCUCCGGCGGUUUAAAACACUGAUGAACGACCGAAAGUGCGAGCGGCAUUUCUAUUUUCUCUCCUGUCUCAUUUCUCGCGAGUCGCCCACGAUGAGGACGAUUUUAUGAGCGAAAGCAGAUAGAGCUUCUAUAUAGAUACGGAGUAUGGGUUACGAGGACUCCCGCUGUGGGGAUCCCGUAUUUAGAGCCCCGAACUUCGGCCCGACAUUGCUAUCGGUUUGGCGGCAUGCUCGUGGUCACAGCACGCGACUCCGUUGCUUUCACGACGCCACACACCCAGCACAACCACCACCACCAAUCUCGAUCACAAUAAAUUCACAUUAAACUAUCUGACCGAAGCCAGCAACAGCGGAGGAGAAUCCGACGCGAUUCUUAACAUCAUCCUGUGGGUCGGCUGUACCAGGGUAACCGUAACGCGCGAAAGAAUUCGUUGGCGAUUCCAUUUUUUCCUGACUGACAAGCUUUAGAUACGAAAUCCCACCGGGACGAACGAAUAUCCGAUUCACUCGUUCUCCGUUGUGAAAUUACUUAUCCAACGACACUUCACCAGUCUCCAAAAAAAUUAUUUUAAAAGACAAUCAGGCCUUUUCGUGUCUAAUCUCUCUUGCAGUUAUCGGCAAGCAAGACCUUCAAAAUCAAAUUAAUUUCUAUCAAUUUUAUAAUAUCAAUAACAAUCUUAAACAUUCGGCUCGAUAUCAAUGUUUCUUUCACUGCGUGAUUCGUUAAUCGUAUUCCAUUCCGAAUACAAACAACGAUACGGACAUUUCUGGGAUGUAAUUAUUUCGAUGCAAAACUCGUUAAGAUCGACGAGUCUUCACUCAAAUUCGUUAAUUCGUAAUGAAUUUGUCAUCAGAUUCACAACUAUAAUUGUUUCGACUCAGCAAUAAGUCACGGGUCGGCGUGAUACGAGGAGACUAUGCGAGAACGGACAUCGAAUGGGCUGGCCUGGAGAAAUUUGGAGUCACGUAUAUUUAACGUGCGCUUACAUGGUUACAACAGUGAGUACGGCUGUGGAAAUAGGCUGUGGCGCAUUAAUUUCUAGUAAUUAUCAGAGGUGUAACUCACUCAGGGAGGGUCCUGGGUCGCGUCCGGGGUCGGCCGCUGCGUGUUAACGCCGUUGUUAUGCCCCAUUAUAUUAUGUCCCACGCAGCCGGCUGUGUCUACGUUAAUGCCAAACCCGAGUUAAAUGGAGGGUGAAUUAUGAGAAAUAGAAAAGUUAGAGGUGGAGUGAAGAAACCCAACCGUUCCAGGGCGUUACUAAUCGCAAUGGGAAUUGAUACAAUAUCGUUGGAUCUCCCUGCAAACCCCCCUCGAACCUCCAAUCAACGCUUCCCACGCGCACUGUCUACUCAGACAGUCCCCCACCCAAUACUAAUUUAUUUAUUGUGGACUUAUCUUUCGGAAGGUACUGAUACGACUUAAAAUUAUGGAGCACCUACCAUGAGGUGCGUGCUCUCCCUCUGCGAAAAAGGCCCAGUGGCACGGGCAAGAUAAAGAUAUUUAUUGCUUUGUGAUGAAACAUAUUCGAGAAGCUUGAACCACGGCUGAGUCAGUUACCACAAUAUACUUCAAAUGGGUACAGAAAAUUAUGACAAAUAAAUGUAUUUUUAAAUAACAAAACGAACGUUUUGAAAUGAGAUUUCAUUCAACCGAUGAUCAAAGUGAUUUUCAGAUCAUCUGCAAAGAUUCUCCAAAGGCAGCUUCGAGACUUUGAAUUUUCCUGAAUCUUACAUGAAUAAAUGUUUAGCUGGGUCGCCACCGAUAGAACCGAACGGAUAUACUUCGCUCGUCGGAGUCUAACACGACAAACAAAAACAUAGCAAGCAUAAAAGACAAAAGAAGUGGGGGGGAGGCGCAUCUCGGCAACAGCGAUAGUGAAUUUUUCAGCGAGGAGAAAAAGGGUGCGUGAUAAAUGAAAAAAUGGCGAAAAAGUACAAGAGAAAGAAUUGGUAGUGCGUUGAAACUGCUGGAAUGACACCGGUGCGAGUUUGUAACGUGUGGAUACAUGUGUAGCGAGAGAGAACGGGGGCCGGGAGGCGCGGAGCGGAACUCCCGGACUUGUUCCCGCAAAAAUUGCCAUGAACUACCUCAAACCAUGUACGCCCAUGACUGGGAGAGAACGCGGUCUGCCUCGCAAUAAUUUCGCGAACGAAAUGUCAACCGCGAAGCACCCAUUGUCGAGUGUUGCGACGCGACGAAAUAUCACCCAGUAAAUCAAGGUGGUCAGCGGCAGUGAAUGAGAGAGAAAAGUGAGAGGAGAGAACACACAGAGUGAAAAGAGAAAGAGAAUCGGCUUCCCGGCCACUCGAGCGAUGCAGCGUCCGCACACUUCCGUUUUUAAUCACUGACCUGUCGUGCCCAGAAUGCGCGAAACACAUACAGCGUGUUUGUGCAGCACGACAUUUUUUCGCAGCCUGUAUAUAGGAAAAACAAUGAACACGCGAAGAUUAUACGAGAAGCUUUAUUGAGAUUAAUCAAAUAUUCAUAAAUGCUUAAAAAAAGCAAGUGUCAAAGUCGUUACACUUUGAAUUAAAAAAUUCCACUUAUUCUUCAUCCAGAGGUCAAGAAUUUUCGUAACCAUUUGAUGUUUUUUCACGUCCUAGACUUUCAUCCGGAACGUGAAGAAUCGGAGUUUACGAAUGGGAAACCAGUAAUCUUCUCAAAACCGAAGAAACGAGAAAGAAUCUUCAUACCUUCAUUUAAUCCAGAGAAAUUGUACUACACAAGUUGCAUAUAAACGUAUUGCUUAAUCCUUCAAAGGUGUAGCAUGUACCGGCAAGCUGUUACCGGAACAAUUAGUUUAUGGUGUGAAAAUCUGGCUCAGGGAUUAUCGUGGGACCAGUGGGUGCUGUGUGUUCACAGUCGAGUUACAUAAUCGGUUUGAAAGCCCAUGGCGAAUCGUGGAAUCAGGGUGAUCGGGUGAUGUCGCUACGAUACUCUGCAGUCGUCAGUUAAUAUGUUUUACACCGUGUCAAUACACGGCAGUUUAGAAACUUUCAUUUCAAAACUACUGAGAAGAAAAUUCCAUAAAAACGAUUAAAAAUCGCAGUUUCUUUAACAAUCCUCAAAUAUUAUAGUGCAGAAAGAUUUUUCUAUUACUUGCACACUACACAGUAAUGAUACUAAAAUUCAUUUCCUAACUAAAGUUCUUCAUCGACAUGAGUUAUUUGAAGAAAUGUAAUUUCUCAUAAAAUUAUUCAUUUUACGUUUAAAAUAGUCAGUGAAAAGUUGAUGCAGAGCUUCUCUCAUGUAUACCGAUGAGUAAAACAUCUUGUAUGCUGUCCUCCGUAGAUGUCAUGUCUGCUUCGACUUAUUUCCCUUCUUAUAUUCGAGUGCCUACAUGUAUGUGUGUGUAAGAGAAACAUCAUAGUGGCUUAAUGUCUCGGAACGAACGCCAUAUUAGCAUGUCCGCGUCCAAUCGUAGCCCACGUGGCAGUGAGGAAACCGUGGCGAAUCCGGUGGGGCCUAUGACAUUGUCAUUAUUUCAGUGGCAGAAGAAGCAUGCGCGCGAUUCACCACGGCACGGGCACGGACGUUAUACUGCUAACAAUGGUGGGAAGAAACAAGGUUCGUAAAAUGAAGGGUGGAAACGAGACGGAAAACGGGGAUGAGAUUGUACGAGGAAGUGUAUCGGGUAUCGGGCGGAGGAGGAGAGAUGUCCUAUGUAUUGUGAAUCUUGAAACUACUGAAAAACCUGAAGAGGGCGAAAAGGCAGUGGAGAGGGGGCGGAGGGAGGGGGGG